GUGGCUGUAGCUCAAUUGGUUAGAGCACCAGACUGUGGCUCUGGGGGUUGCGGGUUCAAUUCCCGUCAGUCACC
rnacentral:tRNA from 1 species